AUACCUACGGCAUGCUUACACCUGCAGUUAACGGCAGCGGGGGAGCUUGCUCCCGCCGGCGAGUGGCAAACGGGUGAGUAAUACAUCGGAACGUGCCCAGUAGUGGGGGAUAGCCCGGCGAAAGCCGGAUUAAUACCGCAUACGACCUACGGGUGAAAGCGGGGGACCGUAAGGCCUCGCGCUAUUGGAGCGGCCGAUGGCUGAUUAGCUAGUUGGUGGGGUAAAGGCCUACCAAGGCAACGAUCAGUCGCUGGUCUGAGAGGACGACCAGCCACACUGGGACUGAGACACGGCCCAGACUCCUACGGGAGGCAGCAGUGGGGAAUUUUGGACAAUGGGCGAAAGCCUGAUCCAGCAAUGCCGCGUGUGCGAAGAAGGCCUUCGGGUUGUAAAGCACAUUUGUCAGGAAAGAAAUUGUCCGGGUUAAUACCCCGGGCCGUUGACGGUACCUGAAGAAUAAGCACCGGCUAACUACGUGCCAGCAGCCGCGGUAAUACGUAGGGUGCGAGCGUUAAUCGGAAUUACUGGGCGUAAAGCGUGCGCAGGCGGUUUGUUAAGACAGUUGUGAAAUCCCCGGGCUCAACCUGGGAACUGCAAUUGUGACUGGCAGGCUAGAGUU
rnacentral:rRNA from 1 species